UAAUACGUAGGAGGCGAGCGUUAUUCGGAUUUACUGGGCGUAAAGAGGGCGUAGGCGGUUCUUCAAGUUGGAUGUAAAAUCUCCCGGCUUAACUGGGAGGGAUCGUUCGAUACUGUUGAGCUAGAGGGCAGCAGGGGGAGGUGGAAUUCCCGGUGUAGUGGUGAAAUGCGUAGAUAUCGGGAGGAACACCAGUAGCGAAGGCGGCCUCCUGGGCUGUUGCUGACGCUGAGGCCCGAAAGCGUGGGGAGCAAACAGGAUUAGAUACCCUGGUAGUCCACGCCAUAAACUAUGGACACUAGGUAUGGGGAGUAUCGACCCUCUCUGUGCCGAAGCUAACGCUUUAAGUGUCCCGCCUGGGGAUUACGGCCGCAAGGCUA
rnacentral:rRNA from 1 species